UAUUUAUUCUAUACUGGGCUUUGGAAUAUGAAAAAUGGACCUGUGUGGCCGGGCGUGGUGGAUCACACCUGUAAUCCCAGCACUUUGGGAGGUCAAGGUGGGCGGAUCACUUGAGGUCAGGAGUUCGAGACCAGCCUGGCCAACAUGGUGAAACUCCAUCUCUACUAAAAAUACAAAAAUUAGCCAGGCAUGGUGGCGCACACCUGUAAUCCCAGCUACAUGGGAGGCUGAGGCAGGAGAAUUGCUUGAACCCGGGAGGCAGAGGUUGCAGUGAGCUGAGAUUGCACCACUGCACUGCAGCCUGGGCAACAGAGCAAGUCUCUGUCUUGCAGCAGGGGGAAGGACCUGUGGUACUCCUACAAACUUAACAACUUUAGCUUUUCGGGGAACAGUGGUGGUCUCCACAGAUAGCUAGAAUCUUCUAAGAUGAAAAUAAACUGUUUCAUCCAGCUGCUUUCUGCCUGUUAACCUUUGCCACUUCCAUUCCUUCAAGUGUGUAAUCCCCAGGGUUGUCUUGUAUUACACACAUCCUUGUUAAGUAAAUAUACCACUGUUGAUUUCUUCUUCCAGUGCAACAUUUGGAUUAAAUAAAAAUCUUUAGUUUCCAGA
rnacentral:lncRNA from 10 species